rnacentral:rRNA from 1 species
GGUUCCUACGGGGGGCAGCAGUGGGGAAUAUUGCACAAUGGGGGAAACCCUGAUGCAGCAACGCCGCGUGAGUGAGGAAGUAUUUCGGUAUGUAAAGCUCUAUCAGCAGGGAAUAGAAAAGAAGGUACCUGAAAAAGAAGCCCCGGCUAACUACGUGCCAGCAGCCGCGGUAAUACGUAGGGGGCAAGCGUUACUCGGAAUCACUGGGCGUAAAGAGCGCGUAGGCGGGAUAGCAAGUCAGAUGUGAAAACUAUGGGCUCAACCCAUAGCCUGCAUUUGAAACUGUAUUUCUUGAGUGCUGGAGA